rnacentral:rRNA from 1 species
UACGUAGGGGGCAAGCGUUGUCCGGAAUCAUUGGGCGUAAAGCGCGCGUAGGCGGCCCUGUAAGUCCGCUGUGAAAGUCAAAGGCUCAACCUUUGAAAGCCGGUGGAUACUGCAGGGCUAGAGUCCGGAAGAGGCGAGUGGAAUUCCUGGUGUAGCGGUGGAAUGCGCAGAUAUCAGGAGGAACACCAAUAGCGAAGGCGGCGACCUGGUUCAUUACUGACGCUGAGGCGCGAAAGCGUGGGGAGCAAACAGG